rnacentral:rRNA from 1 species
CCCAGACAGCCAGGAUGUUGGCUUAGAAGCAGCCAUCAUUUAAAGAAAGCGUAAUAGCUCACUGGUCGAGUCGGCCUGCGCGGAAGAUGUAACGGGGCUAAACCAUGCACCGAAGCUGCGGCAGCGACACUGUGUGUUGUUGGGUAGGGGAGCGUUCUGUAAGCCUGUGAAGGUGUGUCGUGAGGCAUGCUGGAGGUAUCAGAAGUGCGAAUGCUGACAUAAGUAACGAUAAAGCGGGUGAAAAGCCCGCUCGCCGGAAGACCAAGGGUUCCUGUCCAACGUUAAUCGGGGCAGGGUGAGUCGACCCCUAAGGCGAGGCCGAAAGGCGUAGUCGAUGGGAAACGGGUUAAUAUUCCCGUACUUGGUGUUACUGCGAAGGGGGGACGGAGAAGGCUAUGUUGGCCGGGCGACGGUUGUCCCGGUUUAAGCGUGUAGGUGUGUGUUCCAGGUAAAUCCGGUUCACUUUAACACUGAGGCGUGACGACGAGGCACUACGGUGCUGAAGCAACAAAUGCCCUGCUUCCAGGAAAAGCCUCUAAGCAUCAGGUAACACGAAAUCGUACCCCAAACCGACACAGGUGGUCAGGUAGAGAAUACCAAGGCGCUUGA